rnacentral:snRNA from 14 species
AUAAGACCAGUUACUGGGUUCAGGGUGAUCAGCAAGGCCCUGACCACAGGUGUAGGCUCACCAUUGCACUCCGGCGUUUUGAAGCCUGUGACGGACUCUAAUCGUGUUGGCUCGGGUGCAUAGUUUUUGCCAGUGCUCUCUCAUCAUUUGCCAGUGCU